AGGACGAACGCUGGCGGCGUGCUUAACACAUGCAAGUCGAGCGGAAAGGCCCUUCGGGGUACUCGAGCGGCGAACGGGUGAGUAACACGUGAGUAAUCUGCCCCUAGCUCUGGGAUAGCUCCGGGAAACCGGGAUUAAUACCAGAUACGACCACUUUAGACAUCUUUUGUGGUGGAAAGAAUUUCGGCUAGGGAUGAACUCGCGGCCUAUCAGCUUGUUGGUGAGGUAACGGCUCACCAAGGCGACGACGGGUAGCCGGCCUGAGAGGGCGACCGGCCACACUGGGACUGAGACACGGCCCAGACUCCUACGGGAGGCAGCAGUGGGGAAUAUUGCGCAAUGGGCGAAAGCCUGACGCAGCGACGCCGCGUGGGGGAUGAAGGCCUUCGGGUUGUAAACCCUUUCAGCAGGGACGAAGCGAAAGUGACGGUACCUGCAGAAGAAGCGCCGGCUAACUACGCGCCAGCAGCCGC
rnacentral:rRNA from 1 species